rnacentral:ncRNA from 1 species
UCCACUAAAAGUUCUACUACUACUACUACGACUACUACUAGUACUACUACUACUAUAUACAAAGUAAACCAAGAAAACUCAAUGCUGUAGAGUGCACUCAUAGAGAGGUUUGAUACAUUUCUCUGAAGUAAUCAAAGCAUUGAAAGCUGGCUGAUCAACAGUGCACUCCAGACAGGAAAAACAGAACAAGACUCUGGACCUUUAAUUGUUGUUUUUUUGGAAGCAGGGCUAUGAUUAAGAGCAAAGGCUGGGGGCGUUCAUAUUGUGCCACUUGAACUGGAGUUCUUAGACCAGUGCAAGAUGACCUAAAGCAAAAGUAUUUGCCAAGAAUGUUUUCAUUA